GUUUAAUUAGAUUAACAGAUCGUUGUGAUGAAAACACAGAAGGGGCUAAGGCCAUUGAACA
rnacentral:tRNA from 1 species